GCCAGGCAUGGUGAUGCAUGCCUGUAGUCCCAGCGACUCUGGAGGCUGAGGCAGGAGAAUUGCUUGCCACCAGUAGUUUUGGGCUGUAGUGUGCUAUGCCUACAGGGUGUCCACACGAAGCUCAGCAACCAAACGAAGCUCGGCAUCCACAUGGUCACUUCCAGGAAGUGAGGGACCACCAGGUUGCCUAAGGAGGGAUGAACCAGCCCAGGUUGGAAACAGAGAAGGUCAAAAUUCCUGUGCUAAUCAGCAGUGGGAUUGCGCCUGUGAAUAGCCACUGCCCUCUGACUGAGCAACAGAGCGAGACCCUAUCUCUU
ensembl:misc_RNA Metazoa_SRP Metazoan signal recognition particle RNA